GCCUGGAUGGCUCAGGUGGUUGAGCAUGUGACUCUCGAUCUCAGGGUCGUGGGAUCGAGCCCCACUUUGGGCU